GGAUGUGAGGGCAAUCUGGCUGCCACAUUUGUCAUCCCGUUGACUGCCAGGAUUGAUUCAGCUGAUCUGGCUGGCUACGCAAGUGUCCCUUUCCUCCCUCACCACUCCAUGUGAUGCGCGUCCCUCGUGAAGCUGUGCACUGGGUCAAAGAGGAUGACCAUCCCCGAGAGUAGGACCCACCUUCAUUAAAGGGUAUAUCAGUGUUGGCGCUCCUCUGAUAGAACUUCCAAACAAAGAGCCAACUUCUCCUGCUAAAUGCCAUGCUGGUUGCAUUCCAAU
rnacentral:snRNA from 1 species